CGCACCUUGCACUCCUUGGUAUUCCGAGGAGUAUGCCUGUUUGAGUGUCUUGUAAUCAUCAAUCUAACAUUGCUUUUGUGAUGCGUGAUUGGAUUUGGAGACUGCUGGUCUAACGACUGGCUUCUCUUGAAUGCAUUAGUAGAAUUGAGUUACGGCGCUACGUGUAGUGUGAUAAUAUCUUCACUGCAUAGUUGUAAUGAAGUUUUGCUUCUAACAGUCCUUCGUUGGACAAUACUUGACCAUUUGACCUCAAAUCAGGUAGGAUUACCCGCUGAACUUAA
rnacentral:misc_RNA from 1 species